rnacentral:rRNA from 1 species
AUUGAACGCUGGCGGCAGGCCUAACACAUGCAAGUCGAGCGGAUGAAGGGAGCUUGCUCCUGGAUUCAGCGGCGGACGGGUGAGUAAUGCCUAGGAAUCUGCCUGGUAGUGGGGGAUAACGUCCGGAAACGGGCGCUAAUACCGCAUACGUCCUGAGGGAGAAAGUGGGGGAUCUUCGGACCUCACGCUAUCAGAUGAGCCUAGGUCGGAUUAGCUAGUUGGUGGGGUAAAGGCCUACCAAGGCGACGAUCCGUAACUGGUCUGAGAGGAUGAUCAGUCACACUGGAACUGAGACACGGUCCAGACUCCUACGGGAGGCAGCAGUGGGGAAUAUUGGACAAUGGGCGAAAGCCUGAUCCAGCCAUGCCGCGUGUGUGAAGAAGGUCUUCGGAUUGUAAAGCACUUUUAGUUGGGAAGAAGAGCAGUAAGUUAAUACCUUGCUGUUUUGACGUUACCAAAAGAAUAAGCACCGGCUAACUUCGUG